UAAAGUUUGAGCAAACAAUUGCUUUAUUUGAAAGGAGACAGGCCAUAGAAUCACAAAGACACCAGGUAAAUUUCCCUGAGCACAAAAUGUUAAUUACAUUUUUAUUAUUAAGAUUUUUUAUUUUUUUUUAAACAAAGUAAUUCUAUAACAGACCCAGAUGCUGGGGCAUUUAAAUUAAUUGAAGCGGUGUUAAAGAUAUAAAGCUUUUUUUUAAAAAAAUUCUGAUCCACAGAAAAAAAAAAAAAUCAUAAAAAAAUAAUCUUAUUUUACACGACAGUAACAAUACUGUCACAUAACAAUAUUUACAGAUCUACCCAUUAUGGGCAAAUAGUCUACACUUCAGAUUAAGUGUCACUUUGAUGCUGCUAAAAAAAAUUAAUAGUUUUAAAUUCACCCCAACCCUGAAAAAAAAAAAAAAUUUUUUUUUUUCCAGGAAGUUCAAAUGAUAGGACUCUUGUUUAGAUAGAAUUAUUCUAGAUUAAAAGCCCCAUUCAGAUAAAUCACUUUACUUUUGGGAUGGAAAUCCGUUCGAUACAGGGCAAUAAGCUUACAGAGUAAUUGUCCUCCAUCUUAAAGGCAUCAAGUCACUAGUAGCUAUGUAAAUUGCCCCUGUCACCACUUGCAGCAUAAAGUUCUCUUUAAGAGUCCAGCUCUGAAUUUGUAGAUACAAUGUAUCAAAGUGCCACAAUUGCUUUUAACUACUUCACUACCAAAGGGGCAAAUAAGCUAUAAACCAAACCAAUACAUGGAUUAUUGCACACCAUGGCAGGGAAAUGGUUAAAAGCACAAAGUUCUCUGAAUUUAUAUAUUAUAUUUUUAUAUAUAUAUAUUGUUUUUUUAAAACAUUUCAAUACCUGUUUGAAAGCUGCCUUACCCCAGGCAAAAAAAAGUGACAAUUAUUUUUUCUUU